rnacentral:rRNA from 1 species
GGCGUCAGAACGAACGCUGGCGGCACGCUAACACAUGCAAGUCGGACGGGGUAUGGGAGCUUGCUCUUAUACUUAGUGGCGGACGGGUGAGUAACACGUGGGAACAUGUCCUGUAGUGGUGGAUAGCUCCGGGAAACUGGAGGUAAUACAGCAUAAGCUCGAGAGAGGAAAGAGAGAUCGCUAUAGGGGUGGCCCGCGGCUGAUUAGGUAGUUGGUGGGGUAAAAGGCCUACCAAGCCGAGGAUCAGUAGCUGGUCUGAGAGGAUGGACAGCCACACUGAAACUGAGACACGGUUCAGACUCCUACGGGAGGCAGCAGUGGGGAAUAUUGGACAAUGGGGGCAACCCUGAUCCAGCCGAUGCCGCGUGAGUGAAGAAGGUCUUAGGAUUGUAAAGCUCUUUUGACAGGGAAGAUGAUGACGGUACCUGUAGAAUAAGCACCGGCUAACUCUGUGCCAGCCGCCGC